rnacentral:rRNA from 1 species
AUUGAACGCUGGCGGCAGGCUUAACACAUGCAAGUCGAGCGGGGAAUGGUAGCUUGCUACCUGACUUAGCGGCGGACGGGUGAGUAAUGCUUAGGAAUCUGCCUAUUAGUGGGGGACAACAUUCCGAAAGGAAUGCUAAUACCGCAUACGCCCUACGGGGGAAAGCAGGGGAUCUUCGGACCUUGCGCUAAUAGAUGAGCCUAAGUCAGAUUAGCUAGUUGGUGGGGUAAAGGCCUACCAAGGCGACGAUCUGUAACGGGUCUGAGAGGAUGAUCCGCCACACUGGGACUGAGACACGGCCCAGACUCCUACGGGAGGCAGCAGUGGGGAAUAUUGGACAAUGGGCGAAAGCCUGAUCCAGCCAUGCCGCGUGUGUGAAGAAGGCCUUUUGGUUGUAAAGCACUUUAAGCGAGGAGGAGGCUACUUGGAUUAAUACUCUAGGAUAGUGGACGUUACUCGCAGAAUAAGCACCGGCUAACUCUGUGCCAGCCGCCGCCGUAA